UUUAGUUCGAUGCAUCGCGAAGAACCUUACCUGGUCUUGACAUCCACGGAAGUUUUCAGAGAUGGAAUGGUGCCUUCGGGAACCGUGAGACAGGUGCUGCAUGGCUGUCGUCAGCUCGUGUUGUGAAAUGUUGGGUUAAGUCCCGCAACGAGCGCAACCCUUAUCCUUUGUUGCCAGCGGUCCGGCCGGGAACUCAAAGGAGACUGCCAGUGAUAAACUGGAGGAAGGUGGGGAUGACGUCAAGUCAUCAUGGCCCUUACGACCAGGGCUACACACGUGCUACAAUGGCGCAUACAAAGAGAAGCGACCUCGCGAGAGCAAGCGGACCUCAUAAAGUGCGUCGUAGUCCGGAUUGGAGUCUGCAACUCGACUCCAUGAAGUCGGAAUCGCUAGUAAUCG
rnacentral:rRNA from 1 species